CGGAGGCGCGGCGCAGCGGGCACGUGGGUGUCGGUUUUGAUGGAAGCAAGCACGGACAUUCAUUAGUUGAGGAGCUGUUAAUGGAAUUGAACAUCAUCCUCCGUUCCAGCCUUUAUGUUUGAUGGAAUGUGUAUGUUUCUGGCUUGCUGUCUGAGAAUUCUUAAAUCUGAUUGGUUGUCCUGCCUGCUUGGUGAUGAUAUUGUCCCCAGAUGCCAGUUUCUCUGAGGAUUGCAAUUCCAUUGCCACUGAGCAUUGAGCAAUAUUUCGCUCUAAUCGUUACAACCUUACCUUCCUGCAUCAUCUACAGCUGAGUUGAACAGACACAUUAACUUUGAAGAUCGAUCUCCAUUCUAU